rnacentral:rRNA from 1 species
UGCGUAGGCGGCUUUUUAAGUCGGAUGUGAAAUCCCUGAGCUUAACUUAGGAAUUGCAUUCGAUACUGGAAAGCUAGAGUAUGGGAGAGGAUGGUAGAAUUCCAGGUGUAGCGGUGAAAUGCGUAGAGAUCUGGAGGAAUACCGAUGGCGAAGGCAGCCAUCUGGCCUAAUACUGAAGCUGAGGUACGAAAGCAUGGAAAGCAAACAGGAUUAGAUACCCUCGUA